rnacentral:rRNA from 1 species
UGGGGAAUAUUGGACAAUGGGCGAAAGCCUGAUCCAGCAAUGCCGCGUGAGUGAUGAAGGCCUUAGGGUUGUAAAGCUCUUUUACCAGGGAUGAUAAUGACAGUACCUGGAGAAUAAGCUCCGGCUAACUCCGUGCCAGCAGCCGCGGUAAUACGGAGGGAGCUAGCGUUGUUCGGAAUUACUGGGCGUAAAGAGUACGUAGGCGGUUAUUCAAGUCAGAGGUGAAAGCCUGGAGCUCAACUCCAGAACUGCCUUUGAAACUAGAUAGCUAGAAUCUUGGAGAGGUGAGUGGAAUUCCGAGUGUAGAGGUGAAAUUCGUAGAUAUUCGGAAGAACACCAGUGGCGAAGGCGACUCACUGGACAAGUAUUGACGCUGAGGUACGAAAGCGUGGGGAGCAAACAGG